GACGAACGCUGGCGGCGUGCUUAACACAUGCAAGUCGUACGGUAAGGCCCUUUCGGGGGUACACGAGUGGCGAACGGGUGAGUAACACGUGAGUAACCUGCCCACAACUUUGGGAUAACGCUAGGAAACUGGUGCUAAUGCUGGAUAUGUGCUCCUGCUGCAUGGUGGGGGUUGUAAAUCUCCGGGGGUUGUGGGUGGACUCGCGGCCUAUCAGCUGGUUGGGGGGGUAGUGGCCUACCAAGGCGGCGAUGGGUAGCCGGCCUGAGAGGGUGACCGGCCACAUUGGGACUGAGAGCCGGCCCAGACUCCUACGGGAGGCAGCAGGGGGGAAUAUUGCACAAUGGGCGCAAGCCUGAUGCAGCAACGCCGCGUGCGGGAUGACGGGCUUCGGGGUGGCAACCGCGUUCAGCAGGGACGACGCUUUUUGUGACGGUACCUGCAGAAGAAGCACCGGCUAACUACGUG
rnacentral:rRNA from 1 species